CCUGCAAAAAAUUCACCUGCAAAAAUUCACCUGCAAAAAAUUCACCUGCAAAAAUUCACCUGCAAAAAUUCAACUGCAAAAAUUCACCUGCAAAAGUGAUGACCUUAAAUGACCCAAGCCAGAGCAAUCAGCACUAGAUCGAGUCGAGCGGCUCUCAGCCAAUUAAAAUACGCUGUUUGAUCACAUAACAUGUUAGCCGGCAGUGUCUCCUAAAAAGAGAGCUGUUUAGAGGUGAGUGAUAAAGUUUUUCUCCUAAAUAGAGAUCAUUACAGAACGCCUAGUCCUACUUAAAAUACCAUUCAGUUUUCUUUUAUUUUAUCAUCUACUCGAACUGAGGAAAACGUUUGACUAACUCAAAGAAAAGUUCCGCGCCUCCCCUGCCUGUCUGCAGAGGCAGUUUUGAAUUCAGGAGCGGCAUGAUGGCAGCGGCAAACCCUGGCGGUUCUCCGGGUUCGUGGCAACCACGGAUGGGAAAAUGUGGAGGUUGCACGGCUGAUGUUUACUGUUCGUGGCACAGGAAGAGGCAGUUUCAUUUCAGGAAUGAGUGUGCACAAUCAAAGAAUAGAGCGACUGUGGAGAGACCUCUGGGUGGCCGUUACAUGCAUUUACUACGAUGUUCUUCACAACCCUGAGGAAGAAGGCCUUCUUGACAUUUCAAAUGCUGCACACCUCUUUUGCUGCCAUUACAUCUUUCUUCCUCGACUAGAGGAUAAUUUUAAUACAUUUUGCAGUGGAUGGGACAACCAUCCACUGCGAACAGAAAACAACAUGAGUCCCCCAACCAGCUGUGGGAGUUGGGUCACAGAUAUUACCCUGUUCCUGUUCCAGAAAACACACAGCUUAUCACACAUUUGAUUUCCAUGUGUGACGACUGCAAGUGUCCAGAGUGAGGACAGACUGAGGGACCCACUGCUGCACAUCAUCUGUGAGGCUUUGCACCCCUGAUGAUCCACCAGGACAAACUCAGCAGUGUGUGAGGAAGAGGAGGAGGAAGAGCCAGCAGCAGCUGACAGAUGGAGAGAAUAGACAGACUGUUCCCUGUUUGUGAAGGACUGCUAGAAAAGUUUAAAAUAACUAAUUGUCUGUCCUGAAUCAGUCUUAUUAGGUAAUGUUCAAAUAAUGUUAUCAUUCCAGUGUUUUCAGUGUGGGAGAAAGUACUCAGGGCCUUCAAGUUACACACUAUGAAAGGCAGCAACAAGUUUAAUAUUCAGAAACCUAAAGUAUGUAUCAGCAGCAGAAUGGAGCUGAAAAUAAAUGUUUGUUUCAGUUCUAUGAAGCUUUGAGUAUUUUGGAUUAGUAGCACUGCUGUGUUUGUUGCAUCAUAUUGCUGUAAUUGUUUAUAUGCUUUAUAUACUCAGAGGUAAGUUGAUCUAUAGUGUUACAUCAUAUUCUAUAAGGAUGUUAUGUGUUUGUUUACUUUCUGCCCAGUUUGACCCAUUUAGCAGAAGUCAGCCUGUUUAAGGCUCUGAUAUCUAUUCUGUAUGACUUAAAGCAGUUAUGACAUGGUCUGAUUUUCUCACCCAAUAAAGGAAUAUUUCAUAUAUCAGUCUACUCUUCAUUCUAUCAGCAACAGUUAUCACAGCUCGUACAUUUUCUUUUUACACAUAUAUGUGAGCAUUGAGCCAAAUUUAGUAAUGCCAACAUAUCAAACGAACAACAUUUGUCUCUUAUAUAUAAUACAUAUACACUGUCAAACAUAUUUGUCUUUGAGUGAAGAUUUAAGGUGAUAGGACUUAUAAAUAACUGGAACUUGAAUCUUUACUGAAGCUCAGUGUUAGACACAGAGUUCACUCACAUGAAUUUCACUCACAUGUGCUGUACCAGUGUACCUGCACAUGUGAUGUGACAAUAGAAGUGAUUUGAUUUGAGAGUUCAAACUCACUGCUGUAAUAACUUAUGAUUAAUAUAAUAACUAUAAUAUUGGCCAUAUCAUAUUUACACUGACUUUAGUCUCAUGAACAACAUUGGCUAAUUGUUAUUUACUAGCUAAUCCUAAAUGACUGUUCAGUACAGAAAUGAAGCCCAACAAUCAUGUUUUACAGUCCUGCGGUCUCAGCCUCAGAUACUUAUUAAAUCACACAAAGCUCGUGUAGAAACAAACACACGAACAAAAUAUGUUCUCCUUCAUUUCUGUCAAACAAAGCUGUAUGAAACGUUUCCAGCGGUUGGUGUUAUGGUUGCUAGGCAACCUGGGCAGCGCGACGGAGGCUAGACCGUCCCAUUUCACGAGCCUCGCACUUCCGGCCUUAGCGGUCUUUGAGUACGCGGCCCUUGAGGAUCGUUGAGGCUGCGUACUUUAAGGCUGCAGACCCUGAAUUGGGAUACAGCCUUAAUACCUCACCUCUAAACAGCUAUCUUCUAGGAGACACACUGCUGGCUAACGAUGUCAUGUGAUCAAACAGCGUAAUUUAAUUGGCUGAGAGCCGCUCGACUCGAUCUAGUGCUGAUUGCUCUGGCUUGGGUCAUUUAAGGUCAUCAUUUUUGCAGUUGAAUUUUUGCAGGUGAAUUUUUGCAGGUGAAUUUUUUGCAGGUGAAUUUUUGCAGGUGAAUUUUUUGCAGGUGAAUUUUUGCAGUUGAAUUUUUUGCAGGUG